GCGGGUGUAGUUCAAUGGUAGAACUCCAGCCUUCCAAGCUGAGAGCGUGGGUUCGAUUCCCAUCACCCGCUCCA
rnacentral:tRNA from 2 species